CGACCCCAGGUCAGGCGGGGUUAC
rnacentral:rRNA from 2 species